rnacentral:rRNA from 1 species
UACGUAGGGAGCAAGCGUUAUCCGGAUUCAUUGGGCGUAAAGCGCGCGUAGGCGGCUUGUUAAGUCGGGUGUUAAAACGUGGGGCUCAACCCUGCGGCGCAUCCGAUACUGGCAAGCUUGAGUUCGGUAGGGGAGAGUGGAAUUCCCAGUGUAGCGGUGGAAUGCGCAGAUAUUGGGAAGAACACCGGUGGCGAAGGCGGCUCUCUGGGCCGUAACUGACGCUGAGGCGCGAAAGCUGGGGGAGCGAACAGGAUUAGAUACCCCCGUAGUCCCUGA